GAGAUUUUAAAGUAACUUUAUUCUCUCUUUGUAUAUGACAUUUUAAAAAUUACAAUAGCAUAUUACUUGCAAGCUAUUUAUAAUACACACACAGUUAUGCCACACAUAUAAAAUACAUUACCAUAUCACAUUAUUUACAAAUGAGAAUUAACCAGGCCAUCUAUUUUUCAAGUUGAAAAGAAGUUCUUGCUAUUUUCUGAGGUAUUAUUUUUAAAGUACCUGACAAAAACCCAAGAUAUGUGUAAUUUUUUUGUUGUGGUCCUUUUUAUAUUUAUUGUCUUAGCAAUGAUACAGCUAGAAAUAGUGGCCAGAAAUAACCUGAGGAAGAAGCAUGAGUCAGAUGUAUCAUUACAGCCCAUUCUGCCAGGCACCGGCCUUUAUACUCGCCUAAGCCUUCUCCAGUCCCUUGAGUCCUAGGCCCAGGCUCAUUUGGUGCCUGCAUAUAAUAAUGUCCUAGUCCCUCUUCAUCCAGAUCAGCCUCUAUGACCCUAAUCAGUCAAUAACUUACAUCUCCAUGAAAAAGUGUAAUGUAACAAAGAUGAAAUAGGCAUCACAAAGUUUAAGUGAGACAAGUUAUAAAAGGUGAAUGCAGUCUUCCUAAAGGUAAGCCCUUGGU
rnacentral:lncRNA from 1 species